GCAAAGCUGCAAAAGGAGAGGAAAAGGACAGUACGUGGCUGCUUCUAGCAGAGACCGCUGAGUGCUGCUGACAGCUCGCUGGCUAUUAUUCCUCAUCCCUCCUGCUCCAGGCUGCAGAACAGACAGCAACCAAGAGGGAGAGGGAGAGAGAAAUACACAGAGGAAAUAAGAUGGCGUGGGACCAGCCUUUCCAGCACCCUCCCUCCUGGCCUAGGUGCUCUGCCCUCCUUCUGACAUGCUCCAGAACUGCCAUGAGCCAGUUCAUCGAGGAUGCUGCUGACAGUGUCCCCAGCUGGCCAGGAGCUGACCUACACUGACUUCCCUCUCGACUGCCUGCUUUCUCGGUCACCCGAAAAAGCUGGGUCGACCCAGAAGAGAAGGACACGUGAUGGAGUAUCAUGGCUCAUUACCUUGCACUGGCUGGCCCCGGCUAUAACUAAUUGCAAGAAGUUCCAGAACUGGAAGUCCUGUGCUGAAGGACAGGCAAGAAAUCACCGUCCCUCAGACAUCUACCUAGCCCGGCAGUUUCUAGCCAUUGCAUUAUCUUUCCAGGCAAAGUCUACACGACAGGUUUCUGCUAGAACGGCUCCAUUUAUCAGCAGCCUGAGACACAUGUUGCUAGAAACUGCUGGCAUAGAUGCAGGUGUACAGUUAAUACUGGCUUUCACUAGAAUGGCUCAUUUUGUUCCUAGGGAAUCAUUAUACAGGAACAAGGCAUAGUUUUGUCUGCACUGGUGUGCCGGGGAUAAUCUGGAGACUUGCAGAGCUGUACAUAAAGUUCUUGAGAUAAAGAGGCAGAGUCUACACAGGUGCCUGGGGGAGACAGGGGGUAGGAAGACCAGGAGAAUAAGGAGGUGGGGAGCGUCUGGACAGACAGGACAGUCAUAUCAGUUUAUUGCAAGCCACACUAAACAAAUGCAGGAUUUUUUUUCCCCUGUCCAAGCCUAUACCCAUUCAAUUUUAAGCCUGAAUAAAAAUGUU